AACAAAGAAGUAAAUAAUUACAUUUAGUUUCGACCUAAAAAUAGGAAAAAAUAAUCCCUUGUUU
rnacentral:tRNA from 1 species